rnacentral:lncRNA from 1 species
UGUAUGAUCUAAUUUCCAUUUAUUUGUCCCUUGAAGAUCACAGCAUGUCACAGAAUCAUCAAUGUUUAUAAAAUAAAGUUGAUCUGACCAAAUUGCAAUACCGCUAUUUUGACGUAAGGCAGCGUUAACUAGCGUAACCGAUUCGUUAUCUGAACUUACAACACAUAAUCCACCUUUAUAUCCAUUAUAGAACAAUUUCCCAUCUUUGUGAACUAUUCCAUAAAUCCAUGACCCGACUUUAAUCGAUUUAUCAGUUUUUCUGUUUUUCAUAUCGAUUAUCGUGAUUGACUUGUGCAUGCCAGAUGUUACGACAAGUUCCUGACUAUCCUCUAUAUAGUGUAUAUGAGAUGUGUUCGAUCCUGUUUUUAUUGUGAAAUCUAACGACCCGUCGGUUUUUAACACUUUUAUAUAGCCAUUGUAGUUGGAAUAAAUCAUUCUGCCAUCAAGUAGUAAGGAGCAAUCACUGAUAUCUCUUCCAGUUGUUUUCA